CCAGACUCCUACGGGAGGCAGCAGUGGGGGAUAUUGCACAAUGGGGGGAACCCUGAUGCAGCAACGCCGCGUGAGUGAAGAAGCGUUUCGGCGCGUAAAGCUCUGUCAGCGGGGAAGAAAGAAGACGGUACCCGACCAAGAAGCCCCGGCUAACUACGUGCCAGCAGCCGCGGUAAUACGUAGGGGGCAAGCGUUAUCCGGAUUUACUGGGUGUAAAGGGGGCGCAGACGGCGAUGCAAGCCAGGAGUGAAAGCCCGGGGCCCAACCCCGGGACUGCUCUUGGAACUGCGUGGCUGGAGUGCAGGAGGGGCAGGCGGAAUUCCUGGUGUAGCGGUGAAAUGCGUAGAUAUCAGGAGGAACACCAGUGGCGAAGGCGGCCUACUGGACGGUGACUGACGCUGAGGCUCGAAAGCGUGGGGAGCAAACAGGAUUAGAUACCCCUGUACA
rnacentral:rRNA from 1 species